AUUGAACGCUGGCGGCAGGCCUAACACAUGCAAGUCGAACGGUAACAGGAAGAAGCUUGCUUCUUUGCUGACGAGUGGCGGACGGGUGAGUAAUGUCUGGGAAACUGCCUGAUGGAGGGGGAUAACUACUGGAAACGGUAGCUAAUACCGCAUAACGUCGCAAGACCAAAGAGGGGGACCUUCGGGCCUCUUGCCAUCGGAUGUGCCCAGAUGGGAUUAGCUAGUAGGUGGGGUAACGGCUCACCUAGGCGACGAUCCCAGCUGGUCUGAGAGGAUGACCAGCCACACUGGAACUGAGACACGGUCCAGACUCCUACGGGAGGCAGCAGUGGGGAAUAUUGCACAAUGGGCGCAAGCCUGAUGCAGCCAUGCCGCGUGUAUGAAGAAGGCCUUCGGGUUGUAAAGUACUUUCAGCGGGGAGGAAGGGAGUAAAGUUAAUACCUUUGCUCAUUGACGUUACCCGCAGAAGAAGCACCGGCUAACUCCGUG
rnacentral:rRNA from 1 species